UGUCUCGUCUUCCCCCUGAUCUCUGCUCGCGGAGGCUCGACUCGGUGAUCGCGAGAGCGGAAACCGAGGGCCGGUUGGUAAGAUCUGCCCCUAUGGCUGAGCAAAUCUCUGAUGCAGCUGUCACAUUUUGGAUUAUGGAUCUCAGUUCCUCGAAUUCUAUCCCACUGGAAAUUCAACUGCUGAUGUGGUUCCACCGAGUGCCACAUGGACUUCUUUAGAUAGGGAAUCCAGAAGGCGACAUUACAAAGAUCUGAGUCAUUAGAAAAUCUUACAGAGUGUCUGCUUGUUAGCAAACUACUACAGGCUUUCUGCUGGAACCAUCCUGUGUGUGUCUGUUUAUGUUUGCCACUCAAAGCUUGAUGUUAUGUUAUAUUGGUUUUUCUGGGAGAAAAUGCUAAAUCAUUAGCUUGGUAGAUCCAAAUAAAAUGACUAUAAAACUCUUGCUGUUAGAAAACCCACAUUGAUAAGGGAAUGAUUUAAAAUGUUCCUAAUGCUUCAGACAUUGCAUGUGUAGCAUUUCCUAUGA